GCAGUAGUAGAGUUUGUGAGAAGGUUAUUUGUAUGGAGAGAAAUAAAAGUGUCAUGGUUCGUAUGAUGAGGUAAGAAAUGAUUAUGGAAGGUAUUUGUAGUGGAAGUGCAGGUGGUAAAAGCAGAGUACCCAGACGGCUUGGGAAAAGAGCUUGCCUGGUUGAUUAGACUGUAAGUGGUGUGUCGCUCUGGUCUUUUGGGUUCUUAGCCUCUUAGAGAGAGUCAAAUCUAUUGGUGGUGCCCAAUAUGGACUUACUGGGAGUAGAAAUUUUUGAAAGAGAGGGAAAUGGUCUUGAUGGGCCUGAGUUUCUUGGGCCUUUGGAGAAGAGACAUUAUUUUUAUAAACCUUUG
rnacentral:lncRNA from 1 species